GUUUUAGUAUAAGUAUGUCCCAUUCAAUAUCUGGGACAUACUUAUACUAAAA
rfam:Myotis lucifugus cont2.258, whole genome shotgun sequence.